GAGAGGAAGAAAACAUAUAUUGAAUCAAACUAUUGGAUUACAAUAGUGGAUAUUACACGAGGAACAUCAUCCAAAUGUUAUGCAUAAUCUAAAUAUUUUCUUGACAAUGAGACUUGGACCGAAAGCAUCCAUCAACAUCCCUAGAACUUGACUAAAACUUAACCGAGGAACAUCAUCCCUACAAUUUAACUAAAACUGAAAGAAUCCAUCAUCACCAUCAUGAGCUGGAACAUCAUCAUCAUCAUUGCAGUAUACUUGCCACGCAUCCAUAUAUUCAUCCAUAUAUCUUUUGAAUCUACAAAAAAAAUAACAAAAUGAACUGUUAACACACAAUGCAUUGACAUGAUGCAAAGUAGUGAUAGAGGCAGGAUAUUAGACACAUACCAAGGUUGCACGCCAUGCAAUCUUUGUUUUUUCUGCAUUAACAAGAGUAGUGCAGUUUUUGCGAUGUGCCAAAUCUUCAGUUUUCACAAAUGCCAUAUCAACAUGCACUACCCAGAAUUCGUUUAUAAUUCCAGCACCAUCAGCUUUAAAUUUAGGAUCACCGGUUAGUUAGCAAACUGAACUAGAACGGUUUUAGUCAUCUGAAACUGAACCGAAACAUUUAGCUCUAGUUGGUUUUAGUCAUCCAACAGGAAACAGACAAACCUAUAGUGCUAACCAUACUUUGGAACAAACCUACAGCCCCAAAUCCACUUAAACGAAUUUACAUGGUCAUCACCAGCCUAGAGAUCCACAACUAAUUCUGUACACCUACAGUCAAACUUUUUUGUGUGAACCAAAAGAUUUAUUUAUUGCUAAAUAAAUUCACUGAAGCCUACAGCCCAAAUCCUAUAAAUUUGCAUGGACAGCAGCAUAGAACCUAGCACGGACCAAUGGCUGUGGACACAACGAGCAGUAACACGGUAGUGAGAGGGGAGAGUAUACCUUCCAUGGCAUCAUCCAUGACUUGCUCCAUGGCUUACCCCCUGCAUCGAGUUGGUACGUGCAGCUGCAAAACCAAGGGAAAAAGGUUAUAGUUGCCUCAUGCAUUUGUGGAACAGCGCAACACAAGUAAAGCUUCAUCAAGUUCCAUUCCUACUUAAUAAAAGCAGAGCCAGCUUAUUCCUCCCGUUCUAUGUAUCCUAGUUACUAGCUUGGCAACUUUACAUUUGGCUCAAUGAAUUUAUCCCCUAGUUAGUUAUAUAGUUAUACACACGCAUCAGGAUGAAUGAACCGGACAGUAAAUAUGAAGGCGCGCUUUGCUAGAUGCCAUACCAACAUACGCGCUUUGCCGCGCCUGCACAUAUUGACAACAAAUAACAAAACUAUUUUAAAAGAGGAAUCUGAAUGUUACAAUCAUACAAGAAACAUUGUAUAGUUUGGAUGAGUUCAAAUAUGGGCGAGACAUAUUUCUGAGGUAGUAGUUAAAAGCUUUAAACCAUAGAUCAAAAAGCAGUGUUGCACUUUUGCUGAACUAUCUUAACCAAAUUAUCCUAAAUCUCGAAAAAAGGAAAACAAGACCGAUAAGAACAUGGGCACUCCACAUGCGCUCCAGUAUGACCUAAUACUUUCAGAAACUGUUCAAAGGGAAAGAUGCAGCAUGGAAAAUGGCAUUCGCUGCAUUUAGACUGUUCUAAUUUUUUACCAAACCACAGUCAAUAUAUUGUAUUCUUGUAGUGUUGUGAGUAUACGAUUUACAGAACAUCACACGCGCACUGCAAAAUGCAGAAAAUCACCAGUAUCUUGCAUCCAGGUGCAUACAUCACCAUUAGAUAACUCGAUCUCAG
rnacentral:lncRNA from 1 species